AACAACAACAACAACAACAACACCAACAACAACAACAACAACAACAAUGAUGACGACGAUGACGAUGACGACGACGAUGAUGACGAUGAUGAUAACAAAGACAGUGACAAGAACAAGGACAACAACAAAAACAACAACAACGAUAACAGCGAUAACAACGACAACAACGACAUCAACGACAACAAUGACAAAAUAAAAACAACGAAGACGACAAUGGGGACG
rnacentral:lncRNA from 1 species